rnacentral:lncRNA from 1 species
ACAGCUCUACAAGGACGGAGACAUCUCUGCAGCUUUUGUCCCAGCUCGAGAACAGUGCCAGGUGUUUGCUGAAUGAAUGCAUGAACUGUGUCCGAUGGGUACCAAGUUCUGCAUCAGCAACUCUCCGUGUGUAACUGUUUCACCUUGUCAUCGACUCUGUGGCACGGGCAUUAUUAACCCUGGCUAGGAGGGACAGCAAGGAAGGAAAAGCGUGGCAGAAUCACUAAUUUCAGGUCUUUACUGAGCACCGUUGCACCUCUCUGGCCAUCAAUUUGGAAAACACCAGGACAGCCCCACGCCUGCCUGCCAACCACAGCGUCCUUUCUUCCAAGACUCAGCGAAGCCUGUGUCCCGGGAACUCUCCUGACUCGUCCUUGUUUAUGCUGCUCAGUCUCACUCUGGUGGCUGCCCUGGGACUGUACCACAUCCCAUCAGAUUUGGGGCUCCCUUUUGGUUGGCAAUUCCAAAAACUGCUGCAGGAGUAAUGUCUGGCCUUGUCAUAUUCGAAGGAACUGUUUUUCCCAAUUCUUUUGUGUCCCUCACCAGCCUGUGAACGCCUGCAUUGUCUUCCUGUCCCUCCACCCACGCAGCAGGCCUCCUUAGAGCACCUCACAGCCUCGAUAUGGGGUGGGGGCAGGACGCUCCUGGGGAGACAGGACUAAGAGAUGUCAGAGGGCGGGGGCACACUUGCCCGCAAUCCCAGCCACUCAGGAGGCUGGAGCAGGAGGACCAUGCGUCUGAGGCCAGCCUGGGCCACUUAGUGAGACUGUCUCAAAAUAAAAAUUAAAAAGGCCCAA